rnacentral:rRNA from 1 species
AGUGAACGCUGGCGGUAGGCCUAACACAUGCAAGUCGAACGGCAGCACAGUAAGAGCUUGCUCUUACGGGUGGCGAGUGGCGGACGGGUGAGGAAUACAUCGGAAUCUACUUUUUCGUGGGGGAUAACGUAGGGAAACUUACGCUAAUACCGCAUACGACCUACGGGUGAAAGCAGGGGAUCUUCGGACCUUGCGCGAUUGAAUGAGCCGAUGUCGGAUUAGCUAGUUGGCGGGGUAAAGGCCCACCAAGGCGACGAUCCGUAGCUGGUCUGAGAGGAUGAUCAGCCACACUGGAACUGAGACACGGUCCAGACUCCUACGGGAGGCAGCAGUGGGGAAUAUCGGACAAUGGGCGCAAGCCUGAUCCAGCUAUACCGCGUGGGUGAAGAAGGCCUUCGGGUUGUAAAGCCCUUUUGUUGGGAAAGAAAAGCAGCAGGUUAAUACCCCGCUGUUCUGACGGUACCCAAAGAAUAAGCACCGGCUAACUUCGUG